UUAUUUGCAGCUAUAAAUGUUGAAAAGAUGAAGCCGCUUAGUACAUUAAGGAAAUGGCAACCAAUAAAAUUAUGUUUCUGUGGCAGGUUUUCUUGAUUUUCAUGGUGCUCUUGGCCUCUGCAAUGGGAGUGAGGGAUCUGCUACAGUCUUCCAAGCCUCAUGUGACUGGUAAGUUCCUGCCUCUAUUGGCUCCUCAUUAACUCAUAGUUACAACUUUCAGGUUUUGCAGAUUUUGUUAUGGCGUGCACACAUAUGAAGUUGCAGAAGGAAUUUAUUAUGAAUUUUUUUUUUUUUCUUUCUUGUUUUUUGCAGUUAAGGCGAUGGAUAAACCUUGGGGUAAUAAUUACAGGGCUAAGCCUCCUCCUGCUGCUCAUUAACUCCUUUUAAUGCAAUCUUGCCAUGGAAAAUCCCAUAGUUUUAAGAUAUCGUUUGGUUCAAAUUAAUUUAUUUUCUUAAAAGUUAAUUGUUGAUAAAUAUAUUUUUUGAGAAGUUCAAUUCUCAAAAAAUAUGAAUUAAUAUGUUUGGUUGCUAUAUUAAACUUUCGAAAAAUAAAAUUAUGUUAGUGAAAGUUAAUAAUAAAAAUAACAUAAAUACUUCUACUUCAAUGUAAAAUACUCAU
rnacentral:lncRNA from 1 species